UUUAGAAGGAAAGAAGAUGAAAUUGGUAAUUGUGGUUACAACUUUACUCCUUAUCAUGGCAUUUGGUAUACAGACAUCUAGCCAAGCGUCGUGUGAGGCUAUGUGCACUAAAUUAAACCACGAUCGUUGUUAUGGCUGCUGUCAUGCCAAAGACUGCUUCAGCGGGGGGAAUUGUGAUAGCUUGACAAAAAAAUGCUUUUGUAAUGGAUGUAUGAAUAUGGCAGCUGGUGCAAAGGGAAAAUCUAUGUAAAAUUUCUAAUCAAUUUCAUUAGUUUAAAAACUGGUAAAUAAACUUAUCCGUAUAAAGA